UACAGAGGGGGCAAGCGUUGUUCGGAAUUACUGGGCGUAAAGGGCGCGUAGGCGGCCUGCUAAGUCGAACGUGAAAUCCCCGAGCUCAACUCGGGAACUGCGUCCGAUACUGACAGGCUUGAAUCCGGGAGAGGGAUGCGGAAUUCCAGGUGUAGCGGUGAAAUGCGUAGAUAUCUGGAGGAACACCGGUGGCGAAGGCGGCAUCCUGGACCGGCAUUGACGCUGAGGCGCGAAAGCUAGGGGAGCAAACGGGG
rnacentral:rRNA from 1 species